AAAUUGAAGAGUUUGAUCAUGGCUCAGAUUGAACGCUGGCGGCAGGCCUAACACAUGCAAGUCGUACGGUAACAGGAAGCAGCUUGCUGAUU
rnacentral:rRNA from 1 species